rnacentral:lncRNA from 1 species
CAUUCAUCCAACCAGUAUUCAUCAAGCAUCUCCCACAUGGCCAACGCUGGGAACCCAGUGUUGAAGUUGGAGGAGACUUCACUCACAUGCCAUGAGAAGUGCAAGGAAGAGGACCAGCUACCUGUAGAGCAUGUUACAGAGGAGUCAGGUCUGGUCUGAGGUUGGAGGUCCAGGAAGUGACUGGAGUUGAAGCUUGAAGGAGUUGGUAUUCAACAUGCAGAACUGGGAAAAAGGCAUUCCAGGCAGAGGAAGCAGCUUGUGUGAGGGCACUGGGGUGAGAGGGAGCAUGGUUCAUUUGAGAAGUUAAGAAAGCACAGAGAGGAGGAGAAUAGGGAGGGUUAGGGGAAGAGGGGGUAGGGCCUGUGCCAGGCCUGGCCCUGCCCUUUAAGGUGCCAAGUCCUUGCAAGCAUUGGAAGUUAAAACAUGAUGGCCAUUUAUUGAUGAUUUAUUGAUCUCUCUGUAUCCCCUUGGGCACUAGCGGAUUCUCGACAGAACCACAAAGUGGAGUUGGCUGCAGAUGAGUCUGUUCAUGGCCCCAGUUUCUCACCUAUUCCUGAGUCACCUUUUGCCCCUCAGACACAGAGAUGGGAUAGCGCCAGGAUGUGGGUUUGUGUUGUCUAAUUUCUUGGAGUUUGUACAGGUUUUACCUGGUACCAGCGUGACCUUCCCAUGUACCCUCUUGGUCAGCAACUUUUUACAAGGAGUUAAUCCCACUUUCUGGAACUUGCUCAUUCUCAAAGUGAGUGGUUAUUGGUCCUCAAGACAGUCCGCAGAAAUUUCAGCCCCAUGGGAAAGAAAAAAUUCCAGGUCUCUACCUGAUGCUUGGAAAGCCAGCCAUGUUAACUUAGUCAACACCAAUGCUCAUCAAAUACACACAUUUAUCUAGUGUUCCCAACCUACAUUCCCAGCCUGGGAUUCUGUGGGCCAGAGGCCCCAGUGUAGAGAUUAUAGCCUAAUGUCCCAGCAGAGAAUCACUGAUUGCAGAUAGGAAAAAUCCAGACAUUUCUGAACUCCAAGACCACAGUGAUUUAUGUGGCCUGGUGAUAAGCUAUGAUUGAUAUAUUACUCAAAGUUUCUGCUUCCCCCAACUCUGGCAAGAACUUUGGCAGAACUUCUAUGCCAUAUCCAGUACUAGGAAGUUGCCAAGUUUAUGUCCUUAAAAUAAAGUGGGUUCCAAGAUAGAUGGCAGAAAGUGGGAAAUGUGAUUUUUCUUGAUUGGGUAACUAAGAACCACACAGCAUGCGGGAGCCAUUUUGGGCCAAAGAGCUGUUCAUUUAAAGUG